UACGUAGGGUGCGAGCGUUAAUCGGAAUUACUGGGCGUAAAGCGUGCGCAGGCGGCGCGUUAAGACAGGUGUGAAAGCCCCGAGCUUAACUUGGGAAUUGCGCUUGUGACUGGCGUGCUGGAGUGUGGCAGAGGGAGGUGGAAUUCCACGUGUAGCAGUGAAUGCGUAGAGAUGAUGGAGGAACACCGAUGGCGAAGGCAGCCUCCUGGGCCAGCACUGACGCUCAGUGCAC
rnacentral:rRNA from 1 species